rnacentral:rRNA from 1 species
CCUACGGGAGGCAGCAGUGAGGAAUAUUGGUCAAUGGGCGCGAGCCUGAACCAGCCAAGUCGCGUGAGGGAAGACGGUCCUAUGGAUUGUAACCCUCUUUUGUCGGGGAGCAAAAGACGCCACGCGUGGCGUUCCGAGCGUACCCUAAGAAAAAGCAUCGGCUAACCCCGUGCCAGCAGCCGCGGUAAUACGGAGGAUGCGAUCGUUAUCCGGAUUGAUUGGGGUAAAAGGGUGCGCAGGCGGAAGAUCAAGUCGGCGGUAAAAUUGAGGGGCUCAACCUCUGCGAGCCGUUGAAACUGGUGUUCUUGAGUGAGCGAGAAGUAUGCGGAAUGCGUGGUGUAGCGGUGAAAUGCAUAGAUAUCACGCAGAACUCCGAUUGCGAAGGCAGCAUACCGG